rnacentral:rRNA from 1 species
CGUGCAGGCGGCAGGACAAGUGGCGGGUGAAAGCGCCCGGCUCAACCGGGCGAGUGCCGGUCAGACUGUCGUGCUAGAGUACCGGUGAGGGACGUGGAAUUCCGGGUGUAGCGGUGAAAUGUGCAGAGAUCCGGAGGAACACCAGCGGCGCAAGCGGCGUCCUGGACGGAAACUGACGCUGAGACGCGACAGCGUGGGGAGCGAACGGGAUUAGAGACCCCGGUAGUCCACGCCGUAAACGAUGCCAACUGGAUGUCGGGGGGGCGAAAGCCUUUUCGGUGUCGAAGUUAACGCGAUAAGUUGGCCGCCUGGGGAGUACGGUCGCAAGGCUAAA